GGGAAGGUGGCUCAGUGGUAGAGUGCUUGCCUUGCAUGCAUGAGUCCCUGGGUUCCAUUCCU
rnacentral:tRNA from 1 species